rnacentral:rRNA from 1 species
UACGAAGGGGGCUAGCGUUGCUCGGAAUCACUGGGCGUAAAGCGCACGUAGGCGGCUUUCUAAGUCAGGGGUGAAAUCCUGGAGCUCAACUCCAGAACUGCCUUCGAUACUGGAAAGCUCGAGUCCGGGAGAGGUGAGUGGAACUGCGAGUGUAGAGGUGAAAUUCGUAGAUAUUCGGCAAGAACACCAGUGGCGAAGGCGGCUCACUGGCCCGGUACUGACGCUGAGGUGCGAAAGCGUGGGGAGCAAACAGG